rnacentral:rRNA from 1 species
CAGCCGCCGCGGGAAUACAGAGGGUGCGAGCGUUAAUCGGAUUUACUGGGCGUAAAGCGUGCGUAGGCGGCUUUUUAAGUCGGAUGUGAAAUCCCUGAGCUUAGCUUAGGAAUUGCAUUCGAUACUGGGAAGCUAGAGUAUGGGAGAGGAUGGUAGAAUUCCAGGUGUAGCGGUGAAAUGCGUAGAGAUCUGGAGGAAUACCGAUGGCGAAGGCAGCCAUCUGGCCUAAUACUGACGCUGAGGUACGAAAGCAUGGGGAGCAAACAGGAUUAGAUACCCCUGUAGUCCCUGUCUCUUAUAC